AUCAUAUACAGUUAUCUACAGUUAACAUCUACCCCGUCAUCUACAAAUCAUAUACAGUUAUCUACAGUUAACAUCUACCCCGUCAUCUACAAAUCAUAUACAGUUAUCUACAGUUAACAUCUACCCCGUCAUCUUUCCGAUAACAUAGUUUGGACUGCCGAGACUAUAACUUGACUAGUUGUGUAAAGCUACAAGUUUGCGGUUUCAUUAUUAUUUUUUUUUUGCCAAAUUUAUUAAACGGAUUAAACUGUUUUGUUUGUCCUUUAAAUUUUUCUACAUCCGAAUUUUUUUAUUGCCUGUUGACAAAUUUUGAUUGAAAUCACAUUUAUCCCGAAGUCUUGUAGUGCUCUUUCGGAAUUAGAUCAUAAUUUUUCCGUAAAUUUAAUGAAAUUCAAUGAGAAGAACAUGCAGACAUUGUUAUCUAUAAGAGCUUAGUAAGCUUCUUUGAUAAGCAUAGAACUUUGUACUUUUACAAAUACAAGCGAGGGCU
rnacentral:lncRNA from 1 species